AUCGAGAUGACCAGUCCCAAAUAGGACGAUAUGCGCGUCCUCCAU
rnacentral:hammerhead_ribozyme from 1 species